rnacentral:rRNA from 1 species
UGCCAGCCGCCGCGGUAAUACGGAGGGUGCGAACGUUGCUCGGAAUUAUUGGGCGUAAAGCACAUGUAGGCGGCGCAGCAAGUUGGGGGUGAAAUCCCAGGGCUCAACCCUGGAACUGCCUCCAAAACUAUCAGUCUAGAGUUCGAGAGAGGUGAGUGGAAUUCCGAGUGUAGAGGUGAAAUUCGUAGAUAUUCGGAGGAACACCAGUGGCGAAGGCGGCUCGCUGGCUCGAUUCUGACGCUGAGGUGCGAAAGUGUGGGGAGCAAACAGGAUUAGAUA